rnacentral:sRNA from 1 species
CGGGAACUGCCCGGCACGAGCCCUUGCGAUUAUCCCUGAGGCGAUAGAGACAUCCAAGGGAGCUGUCCCUGUUCGGGCCCUGGCCCGAUGCACACGGCGCCCACCUGACGUUACUGGCGUCAGAGGAUAUUCAGGCAAACGACCAUGGCGGUCCCGCC